rnacentral:rRNA from 1 species
CCUACGGGUGGCUGCAGUGGGGAAUAUUGGACAAUGGGAGAAACCCUGAUCCAGCGACGCCGCGUGAGUGAUGAAGUAUUUCGGUGUGUAAAGCUCUAUCAGCAGGGAAGAAAAUGGCGGUACCUGACUCAGAAGCCCCGGCUAACUACGUGCCAGCAGCCGCGGUAAUACGUAGGGGGCAAGCGUUAUCCGGAUUUACUGGGUGUAAAGGGGACGUAGACGGUGCAGCAAGUCUGAUGGGAAAGGUCGGGGCCCAAACCCGGGACUGCAUUGGAAACUGUUGAACUGGAGUACAGGAGAGGUAAGCGGAAUGCCUAGUGUAGCGGUGAAAUGCGUAGAUAUUAGGAGGAACACCAGUGGCGAAGGCGGCUUACUGGACUGUAACUGACGUUGAGGCUCGAAAGCGUGGGGAGCAAACAGGAUUAGAUACCCCUGUAGUC